ensembl:lncRNA
AUGUUUAUGACAUUUAAAUCAAAUGUGCAUAAUAAUUUGGAAUGCGGUGUAGCUUCCACCACCACAACCAUCCCCCCUUCAACCACAACCCCAGUUUCCUUGACUGCAACAACCAGUUCUCCCUCCACCACGACGACCAGCGCCUCUUCAACCACAACCAGUGCCCCCUCCACCACCACAACAACUAGCGCUCCCUCCACCAUGACUACCAGCGCCCCUUCACCCACAACAACGAAUGCCCCUUCAACCGCAACCAGCGCACCCUCCACUACGACCGCCAGCAUAGCUUCCACUACCACAACCAUUGCCCUUUCAACCACAACCAGCGCACCCUCCACUAUGACGGCCAGCGUAGCUUCCACCACCAGAACCAUUGCCCUUUCAACCACAACCAGCGCACCCUCCACCAUAACAACCAGUGCACCCUCCACCACGAUAACAAACGCCCCUUCAAACACAAAUCCCUCACCCUCCACUACAUCGGCCAGCAUAGCUUCCACCACCACAACCAGCGCCCCUUCAACCACAACAAUUGGCUCACCCUCCACUACGACGACCAUCGCCCCUUCAACCACAACCAGCACACCUUCAACCAUAACCAGCGCCCCCUCCACCACAACUAGCGUACCCUCCACUACGACAGCCAGCAUAGCAUCCACUUCAACAACCAUCGCCCCUUCAACCACAACCCCUGUUUCCUCGACCACAAAAACAAGUACUCCCUCCACCACCACAACCAUCUCCCUUUCAACCACAACAACAAAUGCCCCUUCAACCUCAACAACUAGCUCACCCUCCAGUACGACGACCAGCAUAGCUUCCACCACCACAACCAUCCCUUCAACCACAACAAUUAGCUCACCCUCCACUACGACGACCAUCGCCCCUUCAACCACAACCAGCGCCCCCUCCACCACAACUAGCGCACCCUCCACUACGACAGCCAACAUAGCAUCCACUUCAACAACCAUCGCCCCUUCAACCACAACCCCUGUUUCCUCGACCACAAAAACAAGUACUCCGGCCACCACCACAACCAUCUCCCCUUCAACCACAAUAACAAAUGCCCCUUCAACCUCAACAACUAGCUCACCCUCCAGUACGACGACCAGCAUAGCUUCCACCACCACAACCAUCUCCCCUUCAACCGCAACAACAAAUGCCCCUUCAACCACACCCAGCACCCCCUCCACCACAACAACCAGUGCUCCCUCCACCACGACGACCAGCACCCCUUCAACCGCAACCAGCGUCCCCUCCACCACAACAACCAGUGCUCCCUCCACCACAACGACCAGCAUAGCUUUCACCAACACAAACAUCGCCCCUAUAAACCACAACCCGUUUCCUUGA